GCUCUCGUAUUUCCCUGUCCCCAAUACGUAUUCCCCUCCUUCCCCUUUCGCUUUACCUUCCGACAGCCGGCCGUGGGCAGCGGAGAGAUCCAGUGAACCAGCUAGCGCUCCCCUCGAUCUCGUUCUGUUCCCGUCGCUGCAGGCUGCAGCCGUCCGUCGGCGUGAAGGAGGGGCACGGCAAGCGAGUUGGCUUCAAGAUUUUGCCCGCUGCUUGUCUCAUCAGAGCGGUGGCGCCGCUCCCGUCCGGGAUGUCGGCCCUCUCCUACUGCAAGACAGCCUCCGCCUCCUUGUUCGUUUUCGCGUCAAAGAUCGAGGCUUGGAGUUGCCUGUGAUGGGGACGGUGAUGGUGGAGCUCGGGCGGGGAUAAUUGAGGUGUUGACAGUGGAGAUGGCGGCGGCGGCGGCUGGGCGUCAGCCGCGGCGAGCGAGAAGGGUGUCCCCCAUCCAGCGGCUCUUCCAGGCGUGUGGCGUCGUCUCCGGAACCCCUGCACCGUUCCCGUGCCUGCCGAGGACGAGGCCAGAAGAGGUUCAAUGAAGUGAACAAAUUACUCCUUACUUGGUUUGCAUGCAAAGUCAUAUGAUUGGGUUGAUAUUCAUCUAGGUGACAGUGGCGCUUCAUUACUGCAGCGAUCAACUACUGGGUUGCUUGUCAGGGAAAAACAACCAAUUCAACAAGAAGGGCGGGAACAACGAAAAGAGAUCAAGAGGAAUAUGAGUCAGAUUUCUUACUUUUGAUCCUUCAGAUCCAUUGUCUUGUUGAUGGUUCCCAUAGUCAGUGCUCGAAGAAGAAGACAUAGGGGAUAAUAGAGCCCCAGUCCGCUUGAUGUUUGCACAAUUAACGUUCUCCCAGAAAUUAAUUCAUGGCGAUCAGCUGCGAUUGCAAUUUUUCUUC